AUUGAACGCUGGCGGCAUGCCUUACACAUGCCAGUCGAACGGUAACAGGUCUUCGGAUGCUGACGAGUGGCGAACGGGUGAGUAAUACAUCGGAACGUGCCCAGACGUGGGGGAUAACGAGGCGAAAGCUUUGCUAAUACCGCAUACGAUCUAAGGUGGAAAGCAGGGGACCGCAAGGCCUUGUGCGUUUGGAGCGGCCGAUGGCAGAUUAGGUAGUUGGUGGGAUAAAAGCUUACCAAGCCGACGAUCUGUAGCUGGUCUGAGAGGACGACCAGCAACACUGGGACUGAGACACGGCCCAGACUCCUACGGGAGGCAGCAGUGGGGAAUUUUGGACAAUGGGCGAAAGCCUGAUCCAGCAAUGCCGCGUGCAGGAUGAAGGCCUUCGGGUUGUAAACUGCUUUUGUACGGAACGAAAAGGCUCUGGCUAAUACCUGGGGCACAUGACGGUACCGUAAGAAUAAGCACCGACUAACUACGUG
rnacentral:rRNA from 1 species